UCCAGCGAGCUUGAGGUGACGGGAUCGGGCCCACCUGUGUCCGGGUAUAAAAACCUUGGAGUCAACUUUGCGUGCAGACUCUUUCAGUGUUGUCAUAAUACCUAGUGUACAGUACACAACCCCUUGCACUUAAAAGACCCCACGAAUCCGUUAAUAUAUGUCCGGAUGG